AAAAAGAAGAUCAUCUUCAGACUAUUGGAGAUAGUCGCUUCCACUCACAACGCUGAUCUCUUUUGAACACGCAUUACCGUCGGUCACGCAAUCAAAUGCGCAAUUGACCCGACAAGUGUUGGGCGACUGCUGAAGGUUGAUAGAGUCUGAAGAUAUCAUCAUACCCCGUUGGCUAGAUAGGAAAAGGGGAAGCGCGACCGUGUGGAAUGACAUGCAAAGUCUGUCAAAAGCAGGCACAGUGGAGGGUGGGGGGCUUGCAAAAUCGUUUCCACAUCCGAUACCACACACACACCGUCCCACCCGAUCACCUUCACCAUGGGCUCUCCCCCAAAUGCGUGUACGUGCGUGUGCAUGUGCGCGUAAUCUAAAUUGACCUUUUUUUUCCUCAGGCGUAUCUAAGACGGCGUUUCUAACCACAGCGUGUAUUCGUGUGGUGGGCAUAGCGACGGGCACACCUCAAUCUUUCCCCGCGGCCUGCUUCGACCAGACAACCCCUUGUCUAGUUGCAAAAUUUUGAUACGCAAUUUGCUCGUCAACAACUUCUCUUCCCAAAUUCUCCGUGGGACACGACGGUCGUGCAGUAGAGCUUUCCUCUUCUUUUCUUCGUUUGUUAUGUUGCAAAUCUAAUUCUAGCUAGACCCGCAGCGCCACAGUGCCGGUCACUUUGCAUACCAGCCCGUGCGUGUGUGUGCUUGGUGAAUCGUAUUCAAAUUUAUUCAUUCCCUGUCGUAAGCGCUCUACUAACAGUUCUCCGUGUGACCUAUCGAUUACUAAUCCACACAUCCGGUGCGAGGGCUGCAGCGGGAGGCAAUAUAAACCUCUGCCACAUGUUUGAGCGUGUUUGGUGCAAACACCGGCAGGCGAAAUUAGCCUCCAGCAACUUCCUUCUACAGCGAUAAUAAAUUCAAUCAACUAGAACGCGCGGCGUUGGCGGCGAUCGUCCAUCAAGCAGGGUGCAGGUGGCAAGAGCAACAAACACAACCGUCCCACCCCAAAUGCCCGGUUGUUUUGAUGCAAGAAAUACGGUUCUUCUACACCCACCACAAGCAGGUUGCCUCCGUGCAGUACACGUGACAAUGUAACGGAUCCACUCCUCACCGUUCACUAUCUGAAACGGAACAGCAGCAGCAGCAGCCAGUAGUAGUGCGAGCUCCUCGUGUACUACCGCGUGGUGGUGGUGGUUGGUUUGCACCACUUCAGUGGGAUAAUAAUAGUGGCGGCAAUAACAACAAGCUCAACCACUUGCAGCAUGGGAAAGUAGUAACGCUCAAGUCGCAUGGAGUGUGCGUUGGCGUAUAUCACGCGAUGUUUACUGGCCCGGCUGAUUUGUUUACGGAGUGUGUUAUACAACGUGUGUGCUAGAGAGAGAGAGGUGUGGGUGAUCUUGGAGAUGUGUGAUCGUAGAACAAGAAAGAUUAUGAAUCUCUCUUGCGUUGGGAAGUGAAGUGGCAGCUGGUGCAUCAGAAACACACUUCAAUAAACAAAGGCCUGCUAAGCAAGAGACUUGCAGUAGAACCAUCGAUCGUACGGCGACACAAGCGCGUCUCUCUCGUGUGUUGUGUCAUUCGUGUGCCAAGGAAUGCGUUGUAUUGCACAUAGAGUGCCGCUCGGACAUGCUUCCUAUUUUCGCACUGCCGAUGCACCACCACCACCACCAUCAUCUGCAUCACUGCAACGAGAGCGGGACCGGAUUCUAACACCCCGAGACCGUAAACAACGCCGCGAUCAAACUGAAAACUGUAAACAAUGAAGAAUGCUGCACUGAACCUGCCCAGAAACGUGACGAGGAUCGUAAAUGGCUCUAUCCAGACAAGGUUUAAAAACAGAAGCUCUCCUGCCCGUUGGAGAAAACGAUCGAUUAUGAAGCUUACUUCCGCCCCGACUGACUAUUGGCUCCCAACAUCUUCUUGUACAGCGUUGUUGGGCCGCCGUGUUUCUCAAUCUCUCGCACGGUUGAAAGAUAUACAACACACACGGUCCGUCGCUCUUCCCCAACGGCAACAAUGUUGGCGCCCCACGGCCGUCCGCGCAAUUCGCGGUCGGGGAAUAAAUAUCUAAUUUGCAGCUAAACAGCAACAUCGGCGGCGGUUUAAAGGGGAUGGAAGGGAGGCGGAUGAUAUUUUUCGCGUUAAAAUGCUUUCCUUGGGGGCACGACCACUUUACGCGUAAACAAGCUAAAAUGACGACGACGGUACACACAAGUGGCGGCGCGAGCAACGAACGAACGAAGGUCAACUCGUACUCACCCCCCUUGGUGGAAGUGCGGUGGUGAUGGCGGUGGUGUUGGUGUGACCAAUCCCUUCAACCCCACCCGCUGGUACUAUCAUACUGUACGGUGGAGCGAUAGGAGUUAGUUAAAAGGGGUGCUGCUGCUGCUGCUGAUAAUAAUGGCACAGCUCACGUUUUAGAUACAUUUGACUACGACAUUCACAGACAAAAAACCCAUGCUCGUUACUGAUUACUGUUAUCUAGUCUAAUGAUAACAACCUCCUUUGCACCAAUUGUAUCGAAAAAGUCCAUAUUCAUCGUGCCACAGCUGUGUAGAUAUAAGUAUUAGAAGACACCUUGGACAUACGUUGUUGUUUUACAUUGAAAAGACCAACCGAUAAACUCUUUCCUUAUAUCCCUCCA